UACAGGGGGGGCAAGCGUUGUUCGGAAUUACUGGGCGUAAAGGGCUCGUAGGCGGCCAACUAAGUCCGACGUGAAAUCCCAAAGCUUAACUUUGGAACUGCGUCGGAUACUGGAUGGCUUGAAUUCGGGAGAGGGAUGCAGAAUUCCAGGUGUAGCGGUGAAAUGCGUAGAUAUCAGGAGGAACACCGGUGGCGAAGGCGGGUCUCUGGGCCGAUACUGACGCUGAGGAGCGAAAGCGUGGGGAGCGAACAGG
rnacentral:rRNA from 1 species